rnacentral:rRNA from 1 species
GACGAAGGUGGCAAGCGUUGUUCGGAAUCACUGGGCAUAAAGAGCACGUAGGCGGCUAAGUCAGUCGGAUGUGAAAUACCUCGGCUCAACCGAGGAACUGCGUCCGAUACUGCUUGGCUUGAGGUCCGGAGGGGAGAGUGGAAUUCCCGGUGGAGCGGUGAAAUGCGUAGAUAUCGUAAGGAAGACCAGUGGCGAAGGCGGGUCUCUGGACAGUUCC